AUUGAACGCUGGCGGCAUGCCUUACACAUGCAAGUCGAACGGUAACGCGGGGCAACCUGGCGACGAGUGGCGAACAGGUGAGUAAUGCAUCGGAACGUGCCCAGUAGUGGGGGAUAACUGCUCGAAAGAGCAGCUAAUACCGCAUACGACCUGAGGGUGAAAGCGGGGGAUCGCAAGACCUCGCGCUAUUGGAGCGGCCGAUGUCAGAUUAGGUAGUUGGUGGGGUAAAGGCCCACCAAGCCAACGAUCUGUAGCUGGUCUGAGAGGACGACCAGCCACACUGGGACUGAGACACGGCGCAGACUCCUACGGGAGUCAGCAGUGGGGAAUUUUGGACAAUGGACGCAAGUCUGAUCCAGCCAUGCCGCGUGCGGGAAGAAGGCCUUCGGGUUGUAAACCGCUUUUGUCAGGGAAGAAACGCUCUGGGUUAAUACCUCGGGGUAAUGACGGUACCUGAAGAAUAAGCACCGGCUAACUACGUGCCAGCAGCCGCGGUAACAC
rnacentral:rRNA from 1 species